rnacentral:rRNA from 1 species
AUUGAACGCUGGCGGCAGGCUUAACACAUGCAAGUCGAGCGGGGAAGUAUAGCUUGCUAUACGACCUAGCGGCGGACGGGAGAGUAAUGCUUAGGAAUCUGCCUAUUAGUGGGGGACAACAUUCCGAAAGGAAUGCUAAUACCGCAUACGCCCUACGGGGGAAAGCAGGGGAUCUUCGGACCUUGCGCUAAUAGAUGAGCCUAAGUCAGAUUAGCUGGUUGGUGGGGUAAAGGCCUACCAAGGCGACGAUCUGUAGCGGGUCUGAGAGGAUGAUCCGCCACACUGGGACUGAAACACGGCCCAGACUCCUACGGGAGGCAGCAGUGGGGAAUAUUGGACAAUGGGGGGAACCCUGAUCCAGCCAUGCCGCGUGUGUGAAGAAGGCCUUUUGGUUGUAAAGCACUUUAAGCGAGGAGGAGGCUACCGAGAUUAAUACUCUUGGAUAGUGGACGUUACUCGCAGAAUAAGCACCGGCUAACUCUGUGCCAGCAGCCGCAGUAACAC